GAGUGAUCGAAAGAUGAAAAGCACUUUGAAAAGAGAGUUAAACAGCACGUGAAAUUGUUGAAAGGGAAGCGCUUGCGACCAGACUCGCCCGCGGGGGUUCAGCCGGUACUCGUACCGGUGUACUCCCCCGGGGGCGGGCCAGCGUCGGUUUGGGCGGCCGGUCAAAGGCCCCCGGAAUGUGUCGCCUCUCGGGGCGUCUUAUAGCCGGGGGUGCAAUGCGGCCAGCCUGGACCGAGGAACGCGCUUCGGCACGGACGCUGGCGUAAUGGUCGUAAGCGGCCC
rnacentral:rRNA from 1 species